AGCAACUGAUGAAAACCAUUCUGACACCUCUUAUGAAAAAAUAAUGAUAUGUGUUUAUUUUGUUUCUGAUGCUG